GACGAACGCUGGCGGCGUGCUUAACACAUGCAAGUCGAACGGAAAGGCCCUGCUUUUGUGGGUUGCUCGAGUGGCGAACGGGUGAGUAACACGUGAGUAACCUGCCCUUGACUUUGGGAUAACUUCAGGAAACUGGGGCUAAUACCGGAUAGGAGCUCCUGCUGCAUGGUGUGGGUUGGAAAGUUUCGGCGGUUGGGGAUGGACUCGCUGCUUAUCAGCUUGUUGGUGUGGUAGUGGCUUACCAAGGCUUUGACGGGUAGCCGGCCUGAGAGGGUUACCGGCCACAUUGGGACUGAGAUACGGCCCAGACUCCUACGGGAGGCAGCAGGGGGGAAUAUUGCACAAUGGGCGGAAGCCUGAGGCAGAAACGCCGCGUGCGGGAUGACGGCCUUCGGGUUGUAAACCGCUUUCGCCUGUGACGAAGAGUGAGUGACGGUAAUGGGUAAAGAAGCACCGGCUAACUACGUG
rnacentral:rRNA from 1 species